CAUAUUUCUACUCUCAUUCGAAUUGGCUUUGCUCAGUUUGUGUUACAUUCCAUGCGAAACUAUCACUUUGCCCAGAACCACAUUCGACUUUCCAUCAUUAGUUUAGUGGCAGCAGGGGUUUUAUGUGUUAGGACUCGCGAGUUUUGCUUUGUGCAUAAGCAGUUCGCUGGGAAACAGGAAAAAGAAAAAAGAGUUCCUUUUGAUUCCCCGUAAGGCCUUUUUCGAAGGGAGCACGGCAUUUACGCUUGGUAACAGGGGCAUCAUUCGAAUUGAACCGCAAGUAGCUGUUUGAAACUGGGGAGGAGGAGCAGGAAAAGUCUGGGCGAAUGGGGGAGAUCGCAAGCGUAGCGCAGGCGGUGAUUGCAGCCUUGGACUGGAACUCCUCUGCUGAAACCAGGCACUCUGCUUCCGUUUUUCUCGAUUCUAUAAAAUCAGGAGAUGUUCGUGUUUUAGCAGCUACCUCAUUCGAAUUGGUAAAGCCGAACUGGUCUUCUGAAAUUCGCCAUUAUGGAUUUAAAUUGCUACAGCAUUUAGUGCGGUUGCGAUGGGAGGAGCUCCACAGUGAAGAAAGGCUGCAGUUUGUUGAGAUGGUAGCUGCCAUGGUUUGUGAGGUAGCAAAACCUCAUGAAGUAUGGGUAUUAAAGAGCCAGACUGCAGCACUUUUUGCUGAGGUUGCAAGAAGAGAACUUCCUUUAUGGGAGAAAUUAUUAUCAACUAUUUUUUCUUUAAGAACCAAGAGUCCAAUACAUGCAGAAAUGGUGGCUAUGGUGUUGAGAUGGCUUCCAGAGGACAUAACUGUGCACAAUGAAGAUUUGGAAGGAGAUCGACGGAGGCAGUUAGUUCGUAGUCUAAAAGAUUCCUUGCCAUACAUUUUCGAUCAAUUACAUAUGUUGUUUGGUCAAUAUUUAGGAGCAACAGUAAAUGCUGUGGAGCAAAACCAAAUGGAUGUGGCUAAACAGAAUGCUGCUACAGUUACUGCAGCUCUUAAUGCUGUUAAUGCAUAUGCAGAAUGGGUCCCUGUCCCACUUCUAGGGAACUCUCAUUUGACAGAUGUAUGUGGACAUCUGCUGCGCUAUCGUGAAUUUCGUCUCAUUGCUUGUGAAUUUUUUAAGAUGAUUGCUUUAAGGCGAAGGCCAUCUGAUGAAACUCUUUUGGAUUUUGAUUCAACCAUGGCUUGUAGCUUUGAUAUUGUUAUGAAUUCUGCAAGGGAUUUCUUGGAGAACUCAGCUUCAGGAAUCAGUUGCCUUGAUGACAGUGAAGUUGAAUUUGCUGAAUGCAUAUGCCUAACUAUGGUUGCUCUAGGGUGUAAUAACUUGCAGUGCAUUGCUGGACAUGAAGAAAGGCUUUCCUUAUAUCUUUUAGAGAUGCUUGGAUUUUUGCAGCAUCCCAAGUUUGCACUUCAUUUUGAGUCAUUGCCUCUCUGGUUGUUUUUGUUGAGGGGGUCAAGUUCAAACCUGAAGACAAAUGAACAAGUGGAAGGGAGUAGAUCAUCUCUUAUCAGCGGGACAAACUCAACUGCAGUGUUCAUUGAUAAGGAAAAGAAGGGAAUGACAAUUAGAAUCAGUGAUGAUUUCUGUGGCAUUAUUUUGGAUGUUGCUUUUCAGCGUAUGCUCAAGAAAAACCCUACUAUUGGACUUACAUUAUCAAAUAAUUCAUUGGAAAUUUGGAGUGAUGAUUUUGCAAGCAAGAGUGAUUUUGGCCAGUAUCGUGGUAAACUGAUCGAGCUUAUUCGCCUUAUUGGUGCUCAACAGCCAGUAAUAGCUGCUUCAAGGAUUUCUCAGAGAAUUGAAGGAAUGAUAAAUUUAUAUUUAGUUGGGUCGAUUCCUUCUCAGGAUCUUGCAGUCUUAGAAGGCACUCAACUUGCACUGGAUACAACAAUAAGUGCCAUUUUUGAUGGGGCAUCAUAUGCUGUAAACAUUUCGUCUCCUGCUGUGCAUCAUACAUUGCAUACCAUUCUUGGAGGCAUAUUGCAGAGGUUGUGUUCUCUAAACUGGACAGAACCUGCACAAGUAGAAAUUAUUGGGAGGCUUUUAGAUGCAAUGGGGCCAUAUCUAAAGCAUUUUCCAGAAGCAGUAGGCAGCAUAAUUAAUAAACUCUUUGAUCUUUUGAAGUUGCUUCCAGUAAUUCAGAAGGGUCAUACUCAGGAUCUUAUGGCAGUGUCCAUGAGUCGAGCAAGGUUACAGAUUUGCACUUCAUUUAUUCGAAUUGCACAGGCAGCUGCCACAAGCCUUCUACCUCAUAUGGAGCAAAUUGCCGGAAUCAUGGCUCGUCUUGAGGUGGAUGGACAACUUCGACAGAGUGAACACAAUCUUCUUGGAGAAGCAUUUCUUAUUAUGGCUUCAGCUGCUGGGAGUGAACAACAACAAAAAAUAUUGGCAUGGUUGCUUGAGCCAAUAAGCAAACAGUGGCUUCAAAUGGAAUGGCAAACUAAAUACUUGUCUGAGCCAAUGGGUUUGGUACAUCUCUUAACUAGAGGACCAAAUACAUCAGAGAAUGAAUUAAUGUGGUACAUUUUUCAUACAAUAACCUUUUAUGAGAGAGCUCUUAAAAGAUGUGGUAGUAAAAAGACCCCUCAUUGUACUUCUCAAGAGUCUUCAGUUAUUGAUAUGGAUUCUGCUUAUGUUCAUCCUUUGGCUUCCCAUUUAAGCUGGAUGUUACCUCCUCUUUUGAAGGUACUCCGCUGCAUACAUUCACUUUGGUCACAGGCAAUAGUUCAAGCAUUGCCAGUAGAGAUGCGAGCUGCUCUACUCAUGUCUCCUGCUGAGCAAUCUGGUCUUUUGGGUGAGGUGGCACCAAAAUCAAAAGGGAUGGUAGCCGGUGAUGGAAGUCAAUUGGAUUUUAGUAGACCACAAAAUAUGGAGUCAAAAGAAAAUGAAAUACGAAACUGGUUAAAAGGAGUCCGGGACAGUGGGUAUAUUCUAUUAGGUCUAGCAACAGGCAUUGGGGAUCAAUUUUAUAACUGUGUAGAUAGUGAUUCUCUUGUUGUAGCCCUUCUUGAAAACAUUGAAGCAAUGCAUUUCAGACACAUCCGUCAGCUUAUCCACUCUGUUCUAACUCCUUUUGUAAAAACUUGCCCUACAAUCUGUUGGGGAGCAUGGUUAGGAAUAUUUUUGCCUCGCUUACUUGGGCAUUGUCAGAAAUCUCUAAUUGAUUCUUGGAGCAGCCUCAUAUGGAAAGGAAGAGCUAAUGUGCCAGAUUGUUGUGGUGAUGGUUCUGCACCAGAUUUAAAAGCAGAGGUUAUGGAAGAAAAGAUCCUCAGAGAUUUGACUCGAGAGACUUGCGGUUUAUUGGCAGCAUUGGCUUCCCCUGGGGCCAAUAAGAGUCUACCAUCGAGUGAACAAAUUGAACAACUUAACCGCAUGGAAUCAUCUCCCCUGAUUGACACCGAAAAGAUUGCGUCUGAGUCAUUAAUAGGUUUCUUAUUCAAGCACAACGAUGGAGCUGUUCCUGCACUCCAGAUAUGCUUAAAAGCCUUCUCAUGGCCUGAUAGUGAAGCUGUGGCAAAAGUUGUUUUAUUUUGUGGAUCUGUUGUCAUGUUUGCUGUUUCCACCAAUAAUAUUGAACUCCAGCAGUUUGUGGCAAAGGAUUUGUUUGAAGCAGUCAUUCAAGGUUUAACUCUAGAGUCAAAUGCAAUGAUCCAUGCAGAACUCAUUAGUCUUUGUCGUGAAAUUUUUAUUCAACUCUCGACUAGACAUCUUGCAAGACAAGUGCUUCUGUCACAGUUGUCUGUUACACCAGAUGCUUUAUCAGCUUUUGAAAAUGCUUUGUUGAAGACAUCUAGUGCAAAAGAGCAAAAGCAACACAUGAAAAGUUUGUUAUUGUCAGCAGCUGGUAGCCAAUUGAAAGCUCUAUUGGCUCAGAAGAAUACGAAAGUUAUUACCAAUGUAACUUGUACGAGAACAUCAUUUUUACAAAGAAUAGUGGCCUCUAUGUCGUAUUCAGCUAGGGGCUCCAGAUCUUUUUAGCCAUCAAGUGCUACGAAGCAUAAUGUUAUCACGUUAUGUUCUAUGGUUGGAUUAUUUGUUCACAAAUGUUUUGAAGACAUAUUGUGAAUUAGUUAAUGUUCAUUCAUUUUGAAAACAAUCCAUUUACGAUGAAGACAUUUAGUACAAAUAAUCACACAUUUUUUAUUUUUAAUAAUUAGCACACUUGAACAUAUAUUACUUUCGGCGUACCAUUACACCUCCUUUUGGUGCAAGUGCUAGUAUAAAUCUGUUCAUAAUCUGCCCAUAUGCCUGGGGAUAGUCUUCUCACAGUCUUCUGAUAAAUCUGCACUUGAUCCUCUUUAAAAACUCUCCUUAUACCUUCAGCACUAUACACUUCUCACCUACAGGUGUAUAUAAUUAUUAUCUUCUCAGCACAUAUACACCCACAAAUUUCCCUUUUUGGCAGAUUUAUAAUUUUAGCAUUCUACAUACUCAAUCUGCACAUUCAAUCCUUAUAUAUAUGCUUUCAUAUAAUGGGACAUACCUUAUGAUCAUCAAAAAGACACAUCCUAAAUCAACCCGUGGGGAUUAAGAAUCAUAACUAAUAUUUAUUUGCAACCGUUGAUGUGCUCUUUUCAUAAGUCGUGGCAUUGACUAAUCCACGUUUUCUCAUAACAAACCACACCUUUUCAUUUAUAAUUACCUUUCUUUUUUUGAAUACUAAUACGCAGUUUUUUGUCUUUAGAGGAAGACAAAUUAAAGUUGCUGUCUUGUCUUUUGAAUAAGACAAAAAAUUUGUCUUAUAUGGCUUGCCUUUUCUUACGAAAGUGACCGCUGCCUUUAGUAAGGAUUAAUCCUGAUACAAAUUUGUCUUAUCUGCUCUUUGUCUUAUCGGCCUUUUUGACUUAUUCCGUUUUGUUUCAUUCUCUUGACUUUUUACUUUUUGUCUUAUUCAUACUUGUCCUAUUCUUCUGUCUUUAUCAUCGCUGUCCUUAAACUUCCAUUCCUUAACAUUAUGUACGUGCAAUUACUGCUGUUAAUAGCUUCUUAUAUCUGGCUUUAACAAGUCUUUCAAAUAUCCUUAACUGCUGUUGUCCAGAAUAUCAUCGCUGCUCAUUAGUUUAUUUUGGCUGUCUUAAAAAGACACUUUAAGAUUGACUUUUAUAAGUUCUUUGUAUAAUGAGUCAACCAGCAUUUUAAUUAUGUGAUUGCUUAAUUGUAUCCUUUGUAAGUCUAAGAUUGGUUUUUAUCAGUAUUACACCUCAGCAUUAAGUCAUUAAUCUACGUAAUGACUGUAUGUAGCAUGUUGCUGUGUCUAUUGUCUGCAAGCGCUGCCUUUACAAAAUACAAUUGUUGCAUAUCUUGAUUGCUGUAUUAAAUCCCUGCACCCUUAAUAUCGAUGCUCUCACUAAUAGUAUGUGAUCUGCAUAUUAUUUAUAUGCCUAUGUCUUUUUCUUUAUCACUGCCUUACCAAUGGUUAUCACUGCAUAUUUUUUGUCUUGCCACAUCGUAGUGUCUUGAUGACUAAUGAUAAUGUUCUUAUGAACUUAUCACUGCAAUCUAAAUAACAUAAACUUGGUAAUCUGAUCUGAAUAUUAGUAACCUGAUUACUGUCAUGCUUAAAGAUAUCAUAAACUUCAACAUUUCUGGACAAUAAUUUCUUUGAUAUCAAUUGCAAUUAUCUUUCCAACAAUCUAAUCCAAACUAUCUCAUUCCAUGAUAACAAUCUCACUAAUCUAUUUCUGAAAUCAACAAAUGCAAUCAAUCUUACUCAUGUACCUUCAGCAUGAAUGUCUUCUUUGAUGAGUCUUCUUAUGGCAUCGGUGAUGAUCUUAACAUUACAAAUUUUAUCAAUAACAUCAUCAUCUUUACUCCUUUGACAUCAAUGACAACAUUUCCAACAGUCUCUCCCCUUAAGAUUUGAAGCAAAAGUUUCCACCAUUGAAGAAAUGAAGGACCUGAAUAUGUCAACCAUGGAUGAACUAAAUGGGAUCCUCAUUGAGUAUAAGAUGAGGACUGAAAAUGAGAAGCUAUCAAAGUGAGAAGCAGCCUUCAAAGCUUCAAAGAAGUUGAAAAAUGAAGGGCCUGAAACAAGCAAUGAAGAAGAUACAAAGAAAGCUCAUAUUGUGAGAAAUCUGAAGAAAGUAUCUGACAAAUACAAAGUAACAGCAGCUCGAUCCUUGCAACAUACAAGCGAAUCAACUUUGGAUGAAGGUGAUACAAUUGGAUUGGCAGCAGUUAAUACAGCUUUCUAACUGAAGAUUUCAUUGGCAUUAAUACAUGUAAAUGACAAAUUUUUGAUAGUCUAUUGUAUUUUGUAGUAUUGGGUAUUGAAUCAUUUGUAAUAUGAGCUGUACUAUUAAGACAAGAUCUCAACUCGUGAUUUAGCAAAGGAACAAUCAUUGUCAUCAAAAUAGUAAAUGUAUUGGGUGAGUUGAUUAGUCUCGUGGGCAAGUGAAUGAAAUUCAAAAUUUGAUGUGCAUGUGCGAGAUCAAAGAUUUAAUGUAAAUGGACCAGUGUCAGAAUUUGAGAGCUGCUUUUUUUAAUAGUAAGUAUAUUUUAUUAA